rnacentral:lncRNA from 1 species
AACUUCCACCUUGUGGCACCUGCCCUGAGGUACGUGUUUAUUUCUGUCAUCUGCAGUGGUGCGGCCUGGAUCCCCCGCCAGGGCACCAGGUGGAACCGCGGGGAAGGAGGAAGAGGAGGGGGAGGAGGAAGAGAAAGCCUGGAGCAGAGGCGGGGUCAGCCGCACAGGUACUGAUGUCACCUUGAGCCAAAGGAAAACAAGG